CCAUGCUCCAGUACAAAACAUUUUUCCUAACAUUCUACAUCAGUACUCACCAAAUCUGAAAGGUCCACCGACUCCCUGGACUGUUCAGGUAACUGAAAACACAGCCACAAGCAAAUGUGUGUAUAAUCAUCACUUCAACCCCUUCAUCUGUUUAAGUGCUUGUGGGUGCUGGUGAAGAAGAGAAAACAGCUCCAAGAUGCAGCAUCAGCAGAUUGGACAGGUACUUCCUGCAGCCAUGAAGUUCAUUUUACUGGUGAGAUAAAGAACUGAUAUCCCUGCAUCUUUCUUCAGGUUCUGCUGAGAGGGCAAAAAACAGCCAUUGGUCUUUACUUUUCCACUGCUGAACUGAAGCACGUGAACUCACUCCUAUGGAUUCAGUAUUUGCCCUUGAACUGGUGCAAGCUGCACUUGGCACUCUCCUCUUAGAUCAAUAUAUAACCCAGGAGUAAUCUUAUCUGUUAGGAACAGGGAUAUUGGGGGGAGGAGCACAGCCUCUAGAGGUGAGGAGAGCAGCUCUUCUAAAUGUUAAUGAGUUAAGAAUAGAAAGGUCAAAUGCCUGCCUUAUCAGAAGGCCCCGUGUGCAAACAGGCACCAAGCUACAGCCAUCAAAGCACAAGCUGGGUACAAAUGUCAGGAGUUGGUUACUGCAGCUGCAAGCAGCAAAAGCAGAAUGGUGGAACUAGGAAACUUCCCCAGCCAUUUCUAGCUAAUAUAGGUCACGGGGAAAGUCCAACUGCAAAGACUGGCUGGAGAUUGCUCAGGUGUUUCAGCUGCUGCGGAGCCAGGCAACACUUUUAAGUGGUGUGAAGGUGCUAAAAAGGGUACUGUGAAAGGAUAUAGUGAGUAUCAAUAGAAUGAGCCAGUGUAGAAGCGUGUAUCAAAAUGCAUCGUACAUCAAACAUCCUGUGCUGGCAGAGCAUUACACUCUCGCAAAAGCAAUCUGGUGCAUCUGUUCUCUUGGAAUGAGAAUAUGAGACAAAAAGUCCUUCCCUACCUCCUUGUAGAUACACGGAGCACUAAACAUAGCAGAAGCCGUCUGAGAACUCUGUACAGAGCAUCGAUACAGCUUCAGCUCUGCUCUACAGUUCCUCUUUAAGCAUAAUGCACAAAGGAUUGGGGUGGAAUAAGAGAUGAGACAGCACAGAAAAAAAAAAAUCUCCCUUAAGUACAAAAACAUUUUUAGCCCUGUUCUAAUUAAUCCUCUUAUUGACAUCCAGGAAAGAGGCUAAAAGUUGUAUCACACCGGAUUAUAAUCUUCUUGCAGAUACAAGCAAUCAGCUUGAAGCAACAACAGACUAUACCAAAAAACACCAGUGUGUGUUACUCUGCUGUGAGUCAUACUGUGUGAGACUCGUAUCUACAGUUUACCAGUGCUUUCACCUUUACCUGCAGUGAGUUUUCACCAAAAUCAACACCCAGGCAAUCCCCAUUCUCAGAACAGAUCAGCAGCAAGCAGUCACGUUUAAGAGCCCUGUUCCCUCUCUCCCAGUGCAGGAGGUGCCCCAAGAGAUGGCUACCUGGGUUUGGAAAGCAGACACAGGAUAGCUACCUGGCACUGUUCCCUCCUUACUGCAGAACAAAGAGCACCAUUCUAGUCAGCCUGUUCCCAGCUGUAAACAACUAUCAAAGGAUAGGGUUAACUACUGUUUAAAAUACUAAGCAGGAAUAACAACUACAAAUAAUGCAAGGCUAAAUAUAUUUUAUACAAAAGGGAUAAACAAAGUUCUCCUGGCUCAGAAAUCAUAUUCUAACCAUUAAGUAGCUAGUUUAAUUGGUAAAAGAUAAGAUUACAUUGAAAAACAAAAAAGAAAUGCACUCAUAUGAAGCCACUGUUCACUAAAAGACAAUUUUGGUUUAGAGCUCUCAUGUUUGUUCCACAGAGCAACUACUCUGCAGUUAACUGCACUAGCCUCUAACCCCAGCCAUAGGAGAGAACAUCAUAACCUACUUAAAUUUGCAGACUGCAUCCUUUAUGCAGCAGAGCUCCCAAAUGGGCACAAAUGGCUUAUUUCAUACACCAGCAUUACUUGGCAUCUGUUUAUCCUGCAGUCUCCUGCAAGCAUCUGUUCAUUCGCUGACAUAGAUGCUCUGCUCUUCUGCAUUACCAACCUCAUUUUCGGCCUAGAAACUUCAAAGUUUAUUAAUUUGAAAGAGCACAAAUACACAGCAGCAUUUUUCAUACAGAUGGUAUUAAUGAGUGCUAUUAACAAUCGCCGUUUCAACCCAGAAGCUACUGUAUUUUCAGUGGUAGCUCCAAUAUGCUAACAAUUUUGGGGGAGAAAAAGCCUCUGUAAAUAAAGAGGAUUUUACGCUUGUUAUUCACAGCAGGAACAACCAAACUUCUUUAUCCUAUGAGUCACAUCCCAGAAGCUUCACAUAACUGACAACCUCUAAGAGCUUUCCUCUACCAGCCCAUCCUCAGCAGGACGGAGAUCACGUUGCACUGACUGUGCAGGAGCACACAGGAGAUAAACAGCCCAGAAAGUCUCUUCCAUCUGACGUUUCUUGAGCUAAGAGCUGAAUUCAACUUAGUUCAAUCUAGACAGGAAGGAA